rnacentral:rRNA from 1 species
GAUGAACGCUGGCGGCGUGCUUAACACAUGCAAGUCGAACGGAAAGGCCCUGCUUUCACGGUUCUCGAGUUGCGAACGGGCGAGUAACUCGUGGGUGGUCUGCCCUGCACUUCGGGUUAGGCCUCGGAAACUGGGUCUAGUACCGGCCAGGAGACAUUUUUAGCGUGAUGGUUGGAAAGUUUUUUCGGUGUAGGAUGAGCUCGCUGCCUAUCAGCUUGUUGGUGGGGUAAUGUGCUACCAAGGCGGCGUAGGGUAGGCGGCCUGCGUAGGUGGACGGCCACAUUGGGACUGAGGGACGGCCCAGGCUGCGACGGGAGGCAGCAGUGGGGAAGAUUGCACGAGGGGCGCAAGCCUGAUGCAGAGGCGCCGCGGGGGGGAUGACGGCCUUAGGGUUGAAGAAUCCAUUCGCAAGGGACGAAGCAUUUUGUGACGGUACCUAGAUAGGAAGCACCGGCUAACUACGUG